GUCAGCCUGGUGUAGUGGUUUGAGUAUUGGGCUACAAUGCUGGAGACCAGGGUUCAAUUCCCUGCUCAGCCA